rnacentral:rRNA from 1 species
UACGUAGGGUGCAAGCGUUGUCCGGAAUUAUUGGGCGUAAAGAGCUCGUAGGCGGUCUGUCGCGUCUGCUGUGAAAACUCAGGGCUUAACCCUGAGCUUGCAGUGGGUACGGGCAGACUAGAGUGCGGUAGGGGAGACUGGAAUUCCUGGUGUAGCGGUGAAAUGCGUAGAUAUCGGGAGGAACACCAGAGGCGAAGGCGGCGAACUGGACAGUAACUGACACUCAACUGCGAAAGCGUGGGGAGCAAACAGG